GUCUAAGCCUCGCUGCCACGUGGGUUUGCCACUCGGGGCCUGCAAGUCUGCCGAUAUCCACCAGGUGGCGCAGCACCUGGGCUGGGACUCGCCGGAGCUGUGAGGGGAGCUUGGGAUGGGUUUGCGGUCGGUGGAGCGGGUGUUGGUCCUUGAGGGGACUCAAGCAGCUGCGCCUUGUAGAUGCCAUGGGGUUGGGAGUGGACUUGGGCUCAGUCCACAGCCGUCCAGCCCAGACCUACUCGGCACGCAAAUCUCGCCAUUCUCUCUCAACCUCCAUGUUCCGUCCAGCUGGCAAACCAGGGAUACAGACUGGGCUGGAGAGACAGAGGGUCACCCUAUGUUGCCUAGGCUGGUCUGGAACUCCUGGACUUAAGCAAUCCUCCCACCUCAGCUUCCCAAAGUGCUGGAAUCACAGGUGUGACCCACCACAUGCAGUCUAAUGUAAAAAG
rnacentral:lncRNA from 1 species